GGGGCUGUAGUGUAGCCUGGAGAAGGGUUACCAACAAAAUCAAAGAUUUUGAGGUUGCUCUUCGAGCAACUAUCACUAAUGGUUUGGGACCAUUGAACCCCGGUUCGAAUCCGGGCAGCCCCA
rnacentral:tRNA from 1 species